AUGAGCUACAAUCAUGGGGAGUGCCCUGGAAAUAAAGAUUUGGGGGCAUCACAGGGCAAGAACUGAAAUCAGUCGGUGUGAGCUGACAGAGCGGAGCUGUACGAUGCUGGAGCACAACCCCAGUGUGCAGUGCUGGACUGAAACGGACAAGGAGCUGAGAAUAAAGAUGUUGUGGGAAACAGGGCAAGAGCUGAAAUCACUGGUGUGAGAUUGUGAUUAACGUCUGGGGGAAAUAGGGCAAGACAUGAGUCGGGCUAUGGGAUCCUUGGGGGCCACAGGGCAAAGUGGAAAUCACUGCGUAUGAGCUGGUAAUGCAGAGCUGCUGCUGGAACCCACAGCACGGGACAGAGAUGUGUCCAGCAGGCAGAGCUGCGUGCAGCCACAACACCUUGUGUGCAGCGUGCAGUGCUGCGAGCUGAAACAAGGAGCUGAGAAUAAAGAUGUGAGCAGAAAGGCAAGAGCUGAAAUCACUGGUGUGAGCUUCCUAUAAGGUUUUGUGGGCAAAUAUUGCAAGAGCUGAAAUCGUGGGGCAUAAGGUGGAAAUCAAGCCUCAUGGGGACAAAAAGGGAGGCAAUGAAAGAACAGAAUAUGCGUUCAAAACAAAAAUUGAGGCGGGAAACAGAGCAUGUGGUAACAGUGCAGAGCUGCUGCUGGAACCCACAGCAUGGUGUGAGGGUGUGUUGGAGAGGCUGAGCUGCACAAAGCCAGGGCAUCUCACUGGAGUGCAGUGCUGGAGCUGAAGCUGACAAGGAGCUGAGAAUAAAGAUGUUGUGGGAAACAGGGCAAGAGCUGAAAUCACUGGUGUGAGUUUGUUACAGAGCCUGGAGCUCGCUGAAAUCGAAUGAGAGUCCUUAUUGUGGGGUGUGAGAUGGAAAUCAAGAUUUGAGGGGGGGAAUCAGAGAUCAAGGUUUGAAAUCCGUGGGUAUGAGCUGACAGUGCAGAGCUGCUGCAGGAACUGACAGCUCAGGGCAUGGAGGUGUGUGAGCAGAGCUGUGCAAUGCUGGAGCACACCCACAGUGUGCUGGGGCUGAUGGAGCAGAGCUGGAGCUGAAGCAGACAAGGAGCUGAGAAUAAAGAUCUUGUGGCAACGGGGCAAGAGCUGAAAUCACUGGUGUCCGUUUAUUACAAUUCUUCAUUGGGGGAAAUAGGGCGAGACAUGGGUUGCAAAUGAGGAUCUGUGAGGGGACACAGGGCAAGGGCUGAAAUCAGUGUGUAUGAGCUGGUAACGCAGAGCUGCUGCUGGAACCCAGGCACAGGGGUGAAGCUGUGUGAGUGAGGCAGAGCUGUGCAGUGCUGGAGCUGAAUGAGAGCAGGAGCUGAGAAUAAAGAUGUGAGCAGAAUCCACAAGAGCUGAAAUCACUGGUGUGAGUUUAUUAUAAA